GAUGAACGCUAGCUACAGGCUUAACACAUGCAAGUCGAGGGGUAACGAGAGGAAAGCUUGCUUUCCUUGUCGACGACCGGCGCACGGGUGAGUAACGCGUAUUCAACCUGCCCCCAACUAGGGAAUAACCUUGCGAAAGUAAGACUAAUACCCUAUAAUUUCCUCAGAUGCCAUCUGACGAGGAAUAAAGAUUUAUCGGUUGUGGAUGGGGAUGCGUCUGAUUAGCUUGUUGGCGGGGUAACGGCCCACCAAGGCAACGAUCAGUAGGGGUUCUGAGAGGAAGGUCCCCCACAUUGGAACUGAGACACGGUCCAAGCUCCUACGGGAGGCAGCAGUGAGGAAUAUUGGUCAAUGGGCGGAAGCUGAACCAGCCAAGUAGCGUGCAGGAUGACGGCCCUAUGGGUUGUAAACUGCUUUUAUACAGGAAUAAAGUUAGCCACGUGUGGUUAUUUGUAGGUACUGUAUGAAUAAGGACCGGCUAAUUCCGUGCCAGCAGCCGCCGUAA
rnacentral:rRNA from 1 species